GACAGAGGGUGCAAACGUUGUUCGGAAUUACUGGGCGUAAAGCGUGUGUAGGCGGUCUCUUAAGUCGGAUGUGAAAGCCCCGGGCUCAACCCGGGAAGUGCACUCGAAACUGGGAGGCUAGAGUACUGGAGAGGUUGGUGGAAUUCGUCGGUGUAGCGGUGGAAUGCGCAGAUAUCAGGAAGAACACCCGUGGCGAAGGCGGCUCUCUGGAACGCAACUGACGCUGAGACGCGAAAGCGUGGGGAGCAAACAGG
rnacentral:rRNA from 1 species